rnacentral:lncRNA from 1 species
CAUCUAUUAAAUUCUCAUAGUCCUCUCAACCGCCUCUUCAAAAAAGUCUCUUUCCUUCACCCUUUAUUUUUGUUUUGUUUAGUUUCCACACAUCUUAUGAAGAGAAACAAAACAUAGUAAACCAAACAACAAAUGAUUCGAUUUCGACUUCUUUGCCUCUUUGUUGUUCUCUUCACUCUUGUUUGUGUUUUCUCCAAAGCCCCAAGCACUCAUGCUGCUGGAAGACGAAGCUUUUUCUCAGGACCUUCUAGAAGAGAGAGAGGGUUCUCACACUCUUAUGCCACACGUGUAAUCGGCUCUGGACAAUUCAAGCCGGAGAAGAGAAAGAUUCCGACGGGGUCAAACCCUUUGCAUAACAAGCGAUAAUGAAGGGUUUAUUUAUAUGCCGGC